rnacentral:rRNA from 1 species
GGUUGCGAUCAUACCAGCAGUAAUGCACCGGAUCCCAUCAGAACUCCGCAGUUAAGCGUGCUUGGGCGAGAGUAGUACUAGGAUGGGUGACCCCUUGGGAAGUCCUGGUGUUGCAACCC